rnacentral:tRNA from 1 species
GCCGGAAUGGAGAAAUAGGCAGACUCGUUGGUUUUAGGAACCAGUAUGGAGACAUGUGUGGGUUCAAGUCCCACUUCCGGCA